rnacentral:rRNA from 1 species
AGAGUUUGAUCCUGGCUCAGGAUGAACGCUGGCGGCGUGCCUAACACAUGCAAGUCGAGGGGCAUCGGGGCGAGGAGCAAUCCUUGCCGCCGGCGACCGGCGCACGGGUGAGUAACGCGUAUGCGACCUGCCCGUUGCAGGGGGAUAAUCGGGAGAAAUCCCGUCUAAUACCGCGUAAUGCCGCGGGGCUGCAUGGCCCUGCGGCCAAAGGGAGCGAUUCCGGCAACGGAUGGGCAUGCGUGACAUUAGCUAGUUGGCGGGGCAACGGCCCACCAAAGCGACGAUGUCUAGGGGUUCUGAGAGGAAGGUCCCCCACACUGGUACUGAGACACGGACCAGACUCCUACGGGAGGCAGCAGUGAGGAAUAUUGGUCAAUGGGCGCGAGCCUGAACCAGCCAAGUCGCGUGAGGGAUGACGGCCCUACGGGUUGUAAACCUCUUUUGUCGGGGAGCAAAUUCCGCCACGUGUGGCGGAGUCGAGAGUACCCGAAGAAAAAGCAUCGGCUAACUCCGUGCCAGCAGCCGCGGUAAUACGGAGGAUGCGAGCGUUAUCCGGAUUUAUUGGGUUUAAAGGGUGCGUAGGCGGACUGUCAAGUCAGCGGUAAAAUACGGGGGCUCAACCUCCGCCCGCCGUUGAAACUGACGGUCUUGAGUGGGCGAGAAGUAUGCGGAAUGCGUGGUGUAGAGGUGAAAUGCAUAGAUAUCACGCAGAACUCCGAUUGCGAAGGCAGCAUACCGGCGCCCAACUGACGCUGAAGCACGAAAGCGUGGGUAUCGAACAGGAUUAGAUACCCUGGUAGUCCACGCAGUAAACGAUGAAUACUAGCUGUCCGGGGCGAAUGAGCCCUGGGUGGCACAGCGAAAGCGUUAAGUAUUCCACCUGGGGAGUACGCCGGCAACGGUGAAACUCAAAGGAAUUGACGGGGGCCCGCACAAGCGGAGGAACAUGUGGUUUAAUUCGAUGAUACGCGAGGAACCUUACCCGGGCUCAAACGACACAGGAACGUACCUGAAAGGGUUCGGCUCUACGGAGCCUGUGUCGAGGUGCUGCAUGGUUGUCGUCAGCUCGUGCCGUGAGGUGUCGGCUUAAGUGCCAUAACGAGCGCAACCCCCAUCGACAGUUGCUAACAGGUCAGGCUGAGGACUCUGUCGAGACUGCCGGCGCAAGCUGCGAGGAAGGCGGGGAUGACGUCAAAUCAGCACGGCCCUUACGUCCGGGGCGACACACGUGUUACAAUGGCAGGUACAGCGGGAAGCCACCUGGCGACAGGGAGCGGAACCCGAAAGCCUGUCUCAGUUCGGAUUGGAGUCUGCAACCCGACUCCAUGAAGCUGGAUUCGCUAGUAAUCGCGCAUCAGCCACGGCGCGGUGAAUACGUUCCCGGGCCUUGUACACACCGCCCGUCAAG